CGGUGAUCUAGCCAUGGGCAGGUUGAAGGUUGGGUAACACUAACUGGAGGACCGAACCGACUAAUGUUGAAAAAUUAGCGGAUGACUUGUGGCUGGGGGUGAAAGGCCAAUCAAACCGGGAGAUAGCUGGUUCUCCCCGAAAGCUAUUUAGGUAGCGCCUCGUGAACUCAUCUUCGGGGGUAGAGCACUGUUUCGGCUAGGGGGUCAUCCCGACUUACCAACCCGAUGCAAACUGCGAAUACCGAAGAAUGUUAUCACGGGAGACACACGGCGGGUGCUAACGUCCGUCGUGAAGAGGGAAACAACCCAGACCGCCAGCUAAGGUCCCAAAGUCAUGGUUAAGUGGGAAACGAUGUGGGAAGGCACAGACAGCCAGGAUGUUGGCUUAGAAGCAGCCAUCAUUUAAAGAAAGCGUAAUAGCUCACUGGUCGAGUCGGCCUGCGCGGAAGAUGUAACGGGGCUAAACCAUGCACCGAAGCUGCGGCAGCGACACUAUGUGUUGUUGGGUAGGGGAGCGUUCUGUAAGCCGUUGAAGGUGUACUGUGAGGUAUGCUGGAGGUAUCAGAAGUGCGAAUGCUGACAUAAGUAACGAUAAUGCGGGUGAAAAACCCGCACGCCGGAAGACCAAGGGUUCCUGUCCAACGUUAAUCGGGGCAGGGUGAGUCGACCCCUAAGGCGAGGCCGAAAGGCGUAGUCGAUGGGAAACAGGUUAAUAUUCCUGUACUUGGUGUUACUGCGAAGGGGGGACGGAGAAGGCUAUGUUAGCCGGGCGACGGUUGUCCCGGUUUAAGCAUGUAGGCGGAGGUUCCAGGUAAAUCCGGUACCUUUUUAACGCUGAGGUGUGAUGACGAGGCACUACGGUGCUGAAGUAACAAAUGCCCUGCUUCCAGGAAAAGCCUCUAAGCAUCAGGUAACACGAAAUCGUACCCCAAACCGACACAGGUGGUCAGGUAGAGAAUACCAAGGCGCUUGAGAGAACUCGGGUGAAGGAACUAGGCAAAAUGGUGCCGUAACUUCGGGAGAAGGCACGCUGAUAUGUAGGUGAAGCGGUUUACCCGUGGAGCUGAAAUCAGUCGAAGAUACCAGCUGGCUGCAACUGUUUAUUAAAAACACAGCACUGUGCAAACACGAAAGUGGACGUAUACGGUGUGACGCCUGCCCGGUGCCGGAAGGUUAAUUGAUGGGGUUAUCCGUAAGGAGAAGCUCUUGAUCGAAGCCCCGGUAAACGGCGGCCGUAACUAUAACGGUCCUAAGGUAGCGAAAUUCCUUGUCGGGUAAGUUCCGACCUGCACGAAUGGCGUAAUGAUGGCCAGGCUGUCUCCACCCGAGACUCAGUGAAAUUGAACUCGCUGUGAAGAUGCAGUGUACCCGCGGCAAGACGGAAAGACCCCGUGAACCUUUACUAUAGCUUGACACUGAACACUGGUCCUUGAUGUGUAGGAUAGGUGGGAGGCUUUGAAGUGUGGACGCCAGUCUGCAUGGAGCCAUCCUUGAAAUACCACCCUUUAAUGGCUGGUGUUCUAACGUGGACCCGUUACCCGGGUUGCGGACAGUGUCUGGUGGGUAGUUUGACUGGGGCGGUCUCCUCCUAAAGAGUAACGGAGGAGCACGAAGGUUAGCUAAUCCUGGUCGGACAUCAGGAGGUUAGUGCAAAGGCAUAAGCUAGCUUGACUGCGAGAGUGACGGCUCGAGCAGGUGCGAAAGCAGGUCUUAGUGAUCCGGUGGUUCUGAAUGGAAGGGCCAUCGCUCAACGGAUAAAAGGUACUCCGGGGAUAACAGGCUGAUACCGCCCAAGAGUUCAUAUCGACGGCGGUGUUUGGCACCUCGAUGUCGGCUCAUCACAUCCUGGGGCUGAAGUAGGUCCCAAGGGUAUGGCUGUUCGCCAUUUAAAGUGGUACGCGAGCUGGGUUUAGAACGUCGUGAGACAGUUCGGUCCCUAUCUGCCGUGGGCGCUGGAGAAUUGAGGGGGGCUGCUCCUAGUACGAGAGGACCGGAGUGGACGCAUCACUGGUGUUCGGGUUGUCAUGCCAAUGGCAUUGCCCGGUAGCUAAAUGCGGAAGAGAUAAGUGCUGAAAGCAUCUAAGCACGAAACUUGCCCCGAGAUGAGUUCUCCCUGAGACUUAAAGUCUCCUGAAGGAACGUUAAAGACGAUGACGUUGAUAGGUCGGGUGUGUAAGUGUAGCGAUACAUUGAGCUAACCGAUACUAAUGAACCGUGAGGCUUAACCUU
rnacentral:ncRNA from 2 species